GUCUCAGGCCGUAUCAGCCUGAAGGCGCCCGAUCUCGUCUGAUCUCGGAAGCUAAGCAGGGUCGGGCCUGGUUAGUAUCUUGGAUGGGAGACCACCUGGGAAUCCCGGGUGCUCGAGGUC
rnacentral:rRNA from 1 species